CGGUGUCAGAGCCGCGGGUUUUCGGUUCUCGCCACAGCUUCUUUGGGAGAUCACAUGUCGCACAUUAGCCCAGUUCUGUACUGUGGAACUGUCUCGCCAGCCACUUCUCGUCUCGCGGUGGCUUUACUCACAAACCUACUGGACAAGUUGUAGAAGAGACCGGUUCUGUUGUGGCUACGUUGUGCGCACGAAGGAGAUAGUUUGCCCUGGUAAUUGUUCUGUGACUUUGUGCAAUGUGGAAAUGUACAUAAAGAUAGACGUGUCUGCAAAGUCGUCGCGUUUCUAGAAGGUGUCCACUAGAAGGUUUCUAGAAGGUCUCCUCUAGAAGGUGUCCACUAGAAGGUCUCUAGAAGGUCUCCUCUAGAAGGUCUCCUCUAGAAGGUGUCCACUAGAAGGUCUCUAGAAGGUCUCCUCUAGAAGGUCUCCUCUAGAAGGUGUCCACUAGAAGGUCUCUAGAAGGUCUCCUCUAGAAGGUCUCCUCUAGAAGGUCUCUAGAAGGUGUCCUCUAGAAGGUCCCCUCUAGAAGGUGUCCACUAGAAGGUCUCCUCUAGAAGGUCCCCUCUAGAAGGUCUCCUCUAGAAGGUGUCCACUGAGGUGACCCAGCCUUUCAUGCCCUCCAGUGAGCACGUACAACAGGCCAGCGAUCCUCCCAUCUACAUUGUGAGAAUCUUGUCCACUAUUGGGAGAUAACGUAUUCUCGAUCUGUGUUUCGGAUUUGGAAAUUCUGUGCAUUCGUUCGGAUUGUUGUACUUACCUCUCUCGCUAUUUGGAACGCUGUGAUGUUUCUCUGUGUUGUGUUCAGGGAGUGAGUGGUACGCUCUGUCAAUUUCUGUGUGUGGCUUUUUCCUCUAGGAUGUGCUGUAAAACAUGAGGCAGACGCAAGGGCUAAGACAUCCACCGCUGCGCAGACUCCAGGUGUUGGUGUAUGGCGGGGUAAACCUGGAGGCGACCAGUGUCACAUAGUUCUGUCUUACGUCUGACCUCUACGAGGUGACCUGUGUGACGUCAUAGCGCUGCCCAUACUUCUGGGCUCUCCGAUGUGCCAGAGAAAUUCCGCCUCAAAUUAUAAUACAUGUCCGUCUCCACUUAAUAAAUUUUAGCAGAUUCACGGAACAAAAUGAAAGUUCUUUCUAAACGGUCUCACUUCAUCUGGACAGGUGUUCUUUCGAAAUUAAAGUAAGGAAAAGAAUUCAAGUUCUUCCAUUUUCUGUUUGAAACAAGGAGAAAAACAAUUGGUAUAUUAAGAAAGUAUUUGUGUCCGUACGUGUAAAAGUGUAUAAAUAUCCAUCACCAUUAAGUGUCAAUUGAAUCCAAUAAUCAAUCGUAGCUUUUAAAUUAUAAUAAAAUCCAAGAUACACAGAUAGAGAGAAAGAGAUAGAUAGAUAGAUAGAGAGAGUGAGAGAGAGAGAGAGAGAGAG